ensembl:lncRNA
UCUCUGUAAAUUAAAUGAUAUUGAAUUUCAUCUCAUGUCCUGGGGAAUCAUCCUUAACCAAAUAAAAUACAUGUAGGAGAGAAUUCUACGGAUCAGACACGUGGAUAGGUGGUAAAUGUACUGCGAUCAAGGGACACGAAUGGUUCUCUUUGUUUGUUUGUUUUAGGAUAAUGAUGAAAGUUGAUAAUAUUCUAUCAACAUCUUGUGUAUAUUGCAGACAAGUAGAAAAAAUGAAAAAAAAGAAUGAUAGUGUAAAUACCUACGAGUUGUGCCACUGUCGAAUAGGCAACAGUAGAAUAUUUGCUAUGGUAAUUUAUAAUGUAUAAUUCAAGUAAAAUAUUACAGCAAACAUUCGUGAUGUUUGUGUAUAUAACCAAAAUCCAAAAGCUUAUUGGUUUUUUAAAAAAAUGACAUGCUAGUAGAAGUUAAAUGAGUUAGUUAGGUUAAUGCAAUGUCUCUUUUUCUGUUUCCUACGUUUCCUCACCAACAUCACAUGGUUUUUAGAAUGUGAAUUCUAACCAUUUGAGCAGACAUGCAAGCAUAGUCAAUUGUAUUCUCUUCUAAAUUGGAAAUUUGCAAGUAAAGCUAUCUGAAACAUUUCCCUGACUUUGCUUAUAAAGCUUGAUAGUUUCGUGUGCUGAACAGUAACCAUGUCUUUUUUGUAACUCUGAGAUGCAUUUAAAUUGCACAGCUAAAAGACAAAAGAAAUUCUCGAUUUAAAAGAAGACCAGUUAAUAUCAUCAUCUUUAGAAUAUUCUCUGAAACUAAGAACAUUUUUUCUAUAUUGUGCUUUCUUACCAUCAUUCAUGUCAGUCUUGUUUCCAUUUAGAAAAUAACCUCAUUUCCAUAGUAAGGAAAAUAAGGAUGUUCUGUAUUUGUAUGGAAUGGAUUAUUGGGCAAAACUUAACAAUAAUGAAUUGCUAUGUAGAAAAUACAGAUACAGUGUACGAGUAUAUACCAUAAUUUCAGUAUUCAGUCAUCCUGUAUUUUGCUUUUGUGAUAUCCCUGAAAUAUUCGUAGGGGUUCAAAACAGCAACAGAAGUCCACUAAUAUAAUAUUACUGAGUCAACAUUGAGGUGAUAAUUUCCUUCCAUUAAAAGAUAUUCAAAAGAUCGUAGCCAUUCUGCCAUUGAGACGUAAUAAUGGAAAGUUCCAGCCUAAUUAAGGAUAUUUUUUUUUCUUUUAAUUCACGUUGCAGUUAAUAUGGGAAGAAUUGUAUCAUGCUGUAAUUUUUACUUAUAUGAAAAUGAUAAAAUUCUCAGUGCUGAAAAUGAGGUUUUUUUCAGUCAUAAUAAUAAUAAUUACCUAAUACAGCAGUAUAUGCAUGACCUAAUGUGUAUGAAAUUUGGAGCAGCUUACUAAAGAAGAUUGAAAUAGGUUUGAUUAGUCUAUGACAGUUGGGUUAUAGAGUGGAUGACUUUGUAUUUUGCAUAAAUUUGCAUUAUUUGAACUUUUCUCUCCGGUCUCCCACUAUGCAUUUUGCCAGGUAAAUAUAUUAACCUCAUUUUUGUUUUUUUUUUAUGUACUUACUAAUUGUUGUUCAACUUUAUUCCUUUCUUCGAAGAAAAAUCUAUUGCAGUGGAGCCAAAUAUAUAUAUUUUUAUCUAAACUCUGUAUGUAUUUAGAUGCAUAUGUAUGUCAUGCAGAAAUUCCAGGAUUAAAUUCUGUGAGUUACAGCAUCAGAUGGUAGCACUGGUAGCAAGUCUAAUGUUCCUUUUCAGAUAUCAUUCUUAAAGUCUUUAUAAUGAAAUUGGGCUCAGACUGUGACAUAAUCCAGAAAUGUAAGAUCCCCCAUGACAUACUUGUCACUUUGCCACUGAUUCUUUUCCAACUUGAAAGGAGGAACCUUAAAAGAAAAAAAACCUCAACAUUUUUAAUCCAUUACAAUUUUUACAAGGCUUUCUUAUGCAGUAGCUGCUGUAGUUAAGUGUGUGGUAACCCUUUGAAUUUGGGGGGGAGGUUUAGGCCAUUAAAUCCAAUUGGAUUUUAGGCUUCUAUGUUGUCAUAGAAAAACUCAAGCUGUAGAAAUGCAUCCAUUUUAAUUCUUUUUUUUAAUUUAUUCUUUUCCCCUAAUUAUGUUCAGUUUUGAUGUGAAAUAGUAAGAAAUCAGAUUUCUCAUUCUGAGGUAACUUUUGUACUGACUGAAACUGGUAGUGGAACUUCUGCUUCUGCAGAAGAGAUUUAGGACUCCUUUGAAUCAAAAUGGGAGUCCUGUUAGGCGCAAAUUUACCUGGGAAAGUCAAGAUAUCACAAACACGGAUGUCGCAAACAAGCUGGUGCCUGAGCCAAAUGCUGCUGAAAUCAAAGAGGUGUCUGCCAUUAGGUAGGAGCAAAGAAGAGCUGGUGCUGGUUUGAAAAGUCUUGAGAGGAUUAGCUGUGGGAAAGCCAACGUGGAAUGCUAGGCCCUGGCUGUUGGUGUUCUGAGGGCUGCUAGCUGGUGACUUGGUUCAGGCUUCCACACUGGGUCAGUACCAGUUCAACUGUGGUUAUUGUUGAGAAAUGGGACUACACCAGUGGGAAGGGCAGUGCAAGGCUUUCAGAUAAUUCCUCAUUCACACCAAAGCCCUUUGAUGUUCAUCUGGGCUUAGUGCAGGUCUGAUUUAGUGGCUGUUACGGUGCGUUAGUAAUAUGGAAUUACUUUUUAUGGCCAAUUCUAUUUAUUUCACUGUAGUUUAAUUGCAUAUGUGCAUAACAAUCAAGAACUAAUUGGAGUUAUGGUAAUUUAUAGUGUAGUAGUCAGGCUGUUUUCAAAGCCCUACUAAUCAGUAAUUGUGUGAAGUCGUAGGUUGUUUGGUUGGGCUCACUUCAGGUCACACCCUACUGUCACAGCAAGGAAGGAUUUCUUCGAAGCUCUUGCAGGCUUCUACAGGGGGAUUUCAUCUGUCAGGACCAUAGAUCUUGCCUGGUAACUAUUUUAAAGCAAAAAUAACUACCCUUAUAAUUUACUGGUUUUUAGAUCUCCCAAAAGUUACUUAUUGUAACUCAUUCAUUAGCUUUUAAAACAGCAAAAAUGUGUGAGGUUUCUAUUUCUAGAGCACUAGAUUCACUUUUUUUCUUUUGUGCUUCAGAACUGUAUCAUGAAGUACCCGACUUCCAUCUUGUUUAUUCAAAUGGAAAGAAAAUAAUAGAUGUUGCUGUAGUCUUUAGGUCAAAGGAACACAAAGAGACGGGCAAGUCCAUCUUAUUGCUGACUUCCAUUGGUCGCUUUUGAAUUUCCUGAUUUUUGUGACUCCUCUCUUUCACAAUGUUGAAAUGUAUUUAAAAAGGUUUGUCUGUAAUGUUUCUUGUCUGCUUUUUGUCUCUAGAGGAAAGCGUGCUCUAUUCACAUUUAUAUAAGCUGGAAUCGUACUUUACAAUCGCUGUCGAUUAUUUUUCCCCCAAAUGCAGAGGAAAAUGAACACGGCAAAAGCCAGUUUCUAGGGUUUGGUCUUCUGUAGAAGCUGAAAUAAGGAUAUGUGAAACUGACAUUUUCCUUAUGACAGACGGUAAAGAGAGCAUUAAUUUCUGAGCGAGCUUUUCUGGGGAGGAGGGGGAGAAACCCUAGAAUACGGAGUCUCAUCAGAACCCUUUUGUUAACGGGUAUUUUUGUUUUUUUUUUUCUCUCAAAUGAUUGAGUAAAUAUCAUGUAUGAAUUUAUAAAUAAUUGCUUUCAGCUAUUUCUUUUGUAUAAGCUGCCCAGUACCCUUGCUAUGCUGUAUAAGUUGUGUUUCAUGGAACAGUGUGAGUAUGAAAUAAAAGCUAAUUUUUGUUUUUUAAUCAUCUGUGGAUGCCACUAUGAAAGCUGACAUUGUUAAAGCCACUACAGAGUUUUCUAUGAAUACUUGUAAGAAUUGCUUUGUUAUAUAUAAACCUAAAUAAAGAGAUUGUAUUGAUACAGAGACAUUGGAUAAGAACGUUUAAAAGGCUAUUCUUUAGGUCUAAAAGAAAAGGCUUGCUGUAAAAUGGUGCAUUAUUCCAUUUAUUAAAGAUCAUAU